rnacentral:rRNA from 1 species
AUGGUGGCCUCUUCCUCCUUGGAGAUGCUGAGCCGGGACAGCUUCUCGAGGACGUCCGUGCCGAGCUCGGUGUUGCCAUCACGCAGCGCGUCGAUGAUCUCGUCCCGCCCCACGGUGAGGGACCGGAGGAUGAUGGAGAUGUUGUGCGACUUGCGUGGCUCAAUCAGGAAUAUCUGCUCCUCCGAGGUCGAGCGCCCGAGGCCGCUCGAGGAGUCCUUGGCGUCCGCGGAUUUCGUCUUGCGGUUCACCGCCGCGGUGCCGAACAGCGCCUCGAUGGUGCCUUCGUCCAAGCUGCAAACACGUCAGAGUAACACCGUUAGAACGUCACACAAAGCUGAAAAAAAAGCCCAGUUUCUGAAACACUGGCCUAAUAUAGUUGCCAAUCAUGUAUCCAAUGGGUCACAGCCGGGUUCUUUCAGCUACGAUUCUCUUAUCAUCACUGGCUAUGAUUCUCUUGUCACCGGAGCGGGUGACGUGGCAGAGCUAAUAAUGUCCAGCGGAAGCUGA